rnacentral:rRNA from 1 species
AGCCAUAUCAUGUUGAAAUGCUGGUUCUUGUAUGAUCACUGAAGUUAAGCAAUGUCAAACCUGGUCAGUAUCUAGAUGGGUGACCCCUUGGGAAUACCAGGUGCAGUAAGC